AACGAACGCUGGCGGCGUGGAUUAGGCAUGCAAGUCGAACGCGAAAGAGGGGGUAACUCCUCGAGUAGAGUGGCGAACGGGUGCGUAACACGUGAGCGACCUUGCCUCGUGGUGGGGGAUAGCCGGCCCAACGGCCGGGUAAUACCGCAUAGGGUGGUCUUUUCGCAUGGAGAGACUAGCAAAGCCCUGGAGCAAUCCAGUGGCGCCACAGGGGGGCGUCGCGGCCUA
rnacentral:rRNA from 1 species